rnacentral:ncRNA from 1 species
AAGAGCCCUGUAUCAGUAUUUAUUGUCACUACCUCCCCGUGUCGGGAUUGGGUAAUUUGCGCGCCUGCUGCCUUCCUUGGAUGUAGUAGCCGUUUCUCAGGCUCCUUCUCCGGGGAAGGAGCCUGAGAAACGGCUACUACAUCCAAGGAAGGCAGCAGGCGCGCAAAUUACCCAAUCCCGACACGGGGAGGUAGUGA